GGCUGAGAGAUCAGCUGUUCCCUUCGGGGACAGAAUGACAGGUGGUGCAUGGUUGUCGUCAGCUCGUGUCGUGAGAUGUUGGGUUAAGUCCCGCAACGAGCGCAACCCUUAUGAUCAGUUGCCAGCAUUCAGUUGGGCACUCUGGUCAGACUGCCGGUGACAAACCGGAGGAAGGCGGGGAUGACGUCAAAUCAUCAUGCCCCUUAUGACCUGGGCUACACACGUGCUACAAUGGGUGGUACAACGAGCAGCGAGACCGCGAGGUCAAGCGAAUCUCUAAAAACCAUCCUCAGUUCGGAUUGCAGGCUGCAACUCGCCUGCAUGAAGCUGGAAUCGCUAGUAAUCGCGGAUCAGCACGCCGCGGUGAAAACGUUCCCGGGGUCUUGUACCCACCCGAAUCG
rnacentral:rRNA from 1 species